rnacentral:lncRNA from 1 species
AUGGAGUGGGGAGCAGAAAAACUCAGGGGCUACCCCAUGAUGCAGGUAAGAAGUCACAGAGGCCACCUGAGGCAUCAGGGGGACUUAUGGAUUAAACGCAAGAGGCCAUCGGGCUGGACUGAGCUCAGCAUAAGGGCUGAGCUGGAGAGCAGGUGCCAGUGGCUGGGAGCUUGCCCGGUCUGCCUUCUCCUCCCUGGCAUUAAGUCCUCCGGCGUCAAUGACCGCCAGUCUCCCAGCUUCAUUCUCCACAGUGCUCAGGAUGGCCAACCUCCCAGAGUCUCCUCCACCAGGGACUUGGCUAAGAAGGCCCUGGACCAUUGUCAUCACUACCCCAGUGACCUGCUGCCAGAACCUCACCUAGGAGUGUGCUGGAAGGCACCUGGCACCGGCCUGGAAGGAACUGCGAAAUGUCCAGUGAGAAUGUCUUUUCCUGCUCUGGUUGGGAUGCCGAGCACAGCCCAGCAUCGUGGAAACCUCUGAUGUUUGGGAGGCUCCUGAAUACUAACGAGGGCAGGAAGAAAAAAAUGAAAGAGGAAGGAGAACGAUGUCUCAGUCAGAAGUUUUUCUAAUCGCUAUAGAUCCCCCCCCCCUCCGUUUUAGUGGAUUUGAGAGAGGAUGUAGGAAAAGGAAGGGGAAAAAGAAUCAAAAGCAGAUUAUUACCCUGAGCCGCUCCUGCUUUUCAUUGGGAGCCGUGACAGCGACUUUCUGCCUGCCAGAUCUGCAUGUUAAAGGCCGACGAAUGAUGCGGGCAAAAUAUUGACAACUGAACUGAGAUUAUAGGUUACUUGGAUCUUGAGAGAUAAGAUCAAUUAAAAUGGAGCUUUCCACUCAGAAGGUGAAUUAGCUUCUGAAAAAAUAAAAAUCUGCUCCCCCGUGCCCA